GUCCAAAGGAGUGUCUGCAGGACCGUGGGAUGUGAGCAAGGUGCAGCAGAGGUGGGCUUUGCAACAUCAAUCCCAGUGCACACAUAGCCACACAAAAAUACCACUUGUAUAAACUUCCGUAAGCAGAGCAGGUGAGAAAGGAUACUGCUGCACAACCAUAGAGGAAGAAGAGUGGUCCUUCUUUGCUCAAAGUUUCCAGUUUGCUGGGGAAACUACCCAGCAUGUUGUCUGUGGGCAUUGCAGCUGCUGGACAAGUUGACUUCUUCCAGUUUGGACACCUGUUGUCAGCCAUCUGCUACAUGUAACAAGACAAGCUGGUCUGGGCCAAAUGAACAAUGGAAGAAGA